rnacentral:sRNA from 1 species
CCGUGGGAGUUGGCAGCGAGCACUCCAGCUGGAGUGGCGGCAGCUUUGGCCAAGAGUAUGCUGACCAGUGUAGUCAGUCCAGGGAACAACAGGAUGGCCCUGGAGGGGCUUUUCCAGUGUUGCUUCUUUUCUAGACAGAGGAGGAUAUCUUGGUCAGAAAAGAGCUUGAAGAAAUUGCCAGGACUCACCCAGACCAGUUCGACCUGUGGUACACCCUGGACAGGCCUCCCAUUGGCUGGAAGUACAGCUCAGGCUUCGUUACUGCCGACAUGAUCAAGGAGCACCUUCCUCCUCCAGGGAAGUCCACGCUCAUCCUGGUGUGUGGCCCGCCACCCCUGAUCCAGACGGCGGCUCACCCUAACCUGGAGAAGCUGGGUUAUACCCAGGAUAUGAUUUUCACCUACUAACACCUCCAUGUGGUCAGCAAAUUUGCAUGUCCCUUUUCAUCUGUUUCAGAGUAAGUUCAAUUUCACCACGUUAAACUGGGAUGUUUUCAAAA